rnacentral:rRNA from 1 species
GGUUGAUAGGUCAGGUGUGUAAGUGCUGUGAGGCAUUGAGCUAACUGAUACUAAUUGCCCGUGAGGCUUAACCAUACAACACCCAAGGGGUUU